rnacentral:rRNA from 1 species
AUUGAACGCUGGCGGCAGGCCUAACACAUGCAAGUCGAACGAGUGGCGGACGGGUGAGUAAUGUAUGGGAAACUGCCUCAUGGAGGGGUAUAACUACUGGAAACGGUAGCUAAUACCGCAUACCAUCAGAUGUGCCCAGCUGGGAUUAGAUAGUUGUUGGGGUAACGGCUCACCAAGGCGACGAUCCCUAGCUGGUCUGUGAGGAUGAACAGCAACACUGGAACGGAGACACGGUCCAGACUCCUACGGUAGGCAGGAGUGGGGAAUAUUGCACAAUGGGAGCAAGCCUGAUGCAGCCAUGCCGCGUGUAUGAAGAAUGCCUUCGGGUUGUAAAGUACUUUCAGCGGGGAGGCGUUACCCGCAGAAGAAGCACCGGCUAACUCCGUGCCAGCAGCCGCGGUAAUUC